UCUGCGAAGCGGCGCCAGCCUCCCUGGGGAGCGGCCGGGGCAGGCGCCGGGUUCAUGUUCCGGGUCGCCGAGCCCAACCCGACCCGAGCUCCGGCAGCGAGGAAGAGCUGGCAUUUCAGUAGGACUAUGGAGGAGCUGGUUCAUGAUUUAGUCUCAGCACUGGAAGAAAGUUCAGAGCAAGCCAGAGGAGGUUUUGCUGAUACUGGAGAUCAUUCUCGAAGUGUCUCUUGUCUUCUGAAGCGGCAGGCAAGAAAAAGGAGGGGACGAAAAAGGCGUUCAUUUACCACUCAUCAUCCCUGGGAGACUGGUCACUGUUUAAGUGAAGGUUCAGAUUCCAGUUUAGAAGAAUCAAGCAAAGAUUACAGGGAGAAUCAUACUAACAAGAAAGACCACAGUGACUCUGAUGACCAGUUGUUGAUUGCUAAACGCAGGCCUUCCUCAAACUUAAAUAACAUUAGAGGCAAAAGACCUCUAUGGCAUGAGCCAGAUCUGGCUGUGGACAAUUUAGGAAACAGAACUUUGCGCAGGAGAAGAAAAGUGAAACGGAUGGCAAUUGAUCUGCCGUCAGAAGUUUCUAAUGCACUGACAAUAACUCAACAGCAGGAUAACAGAGAUCAAGAAAUGGAUAAUGACAAUAAAUCACACCAACAUCAGGAGUUUUCGAAGAGCAAAGUGAAAAAGAGAAAAGUAGCUGCAGUUCGACAAGGACCGGAAAUCUUGGAUGAAGGAGUAGUAAUAGAAAAUGAAGAAAUGAACCAAGCAAAUAAGGACAAAAUGGAGUAUGAGGAGCAAAAGGGCUCAGAUGAGAACAUGAGUGACAGUGAAUCCAGCAGUCUGAGCAGCAGUGAUGCUGGUUUGUUUACCAAUGAUGAGGGAAGACAAGGUGAUGAUGAGCAGAGUGAUUGGUUUCAUGAAAAUGAAUCUGGUGGAGCAUGUGGAAUAACAGGAGUCAUUCCUUGGUGGGAACAAGAAGACUCUACAGAACUGGACAGAGAAUUGCCUGACCCAGUCUUUGAAAGUAUCUUAACUGGUACUUUCCCCCUCAUGUCCCAUUCAGGGAGGAGAGGUUUCCAGAGCAGGUUUAGUCAUCUUCAUGGAAUGCCAGCAAGAAACGCAAAAAAGGCUCCAGGAAACCAAAAUGCAUUGAUAACUCCAGGACCAGGUGGUAGCAGAAAGGCAAUUCACCUGUCCCAGGAUUCUCUUCACCAUGACCAUUGGUUUAGCCCUGGGGCUAGGAAGGAACAUAGCCAGCUCUUGCGAGACAACCGGUCGGACCGAGGACACAAGAAGAACAGCUCUGUAAAAACAGCUAGCAGGCAAACCAGUGUGCAUUUAGGAUCAUUGUGCAUGGGAGACAUCAAACGGAGAAGGAAAGCUGCUCCCCUGCCAGGACCCACAGGGUUUGUAGGUGAAAACACCCAACCAAUCCCAGAAAACAACAUUGGAAACCGAAUGCUUCAGAGCAUGGGCUGGACUCCUGGCACUGGCCUUGGACCAGACGGGAAAGGGAUUGCAGAGCCAAUACGAGCCAUCCAGAGACCAAAAGGACUCGGCCUCGGAUUCAGCUGACAGAAAUGCACUUUGGCUGUCGAGUGAAAGUAAAGAUUGAAAAUAAUUUAAAAAGACAAGAAUUGCAAGCUUGUAUUAUUUGUUAUGAUCAGCAAGUCCAGUUGUUCUUCUCUCAAAGAUCACUGAAGCCUGUGUGCUUCACAUCAGCUACUCCAGCUGCAAGAAAGGCAAUGCUAGGAAAUGUAGCAACAUUAUAACAUGGAAUUUUCUUUAAAAUUUUGUUGAUUCUUUCCAGGAGAAAUAUUUGGAAGAGAUUUCCCUGGAAAAAAAGGCAGAUUUUCAGCACACAAGGAAUAAGAGCUGUCCUUUUGUUCACUGGGAGCCCAGAAUCAGCAGCUGUUUCUUACAGUAAAUACUGAUGGAGGGAAGGAAAAAAGUGAGGGUUUGAAUGUAGUUGGAAGAAGAAAAUCAUGUGAGAUCCUAGCCAAAAUUUCCUGUCUGCUCCAAGUCGGCUGCUCUUCGGUCAGUGCAGGUCUUACAAAUGCAGCCCAGGUGAGGUGUUCCUUGUGGCCACACUGCCAGUAGACCACAUGCCCCCACCUCAUGCCUUUACUCCAGGACUGAUGGCUGCUGACAUAAUGAUCCACAAGCUGGGAUCAGCACCUCUUCCUUAAAAAUUGAUUUAUUUUUGUGGGUUAACAGUUUAUAUGAAGCUUUCUGAUCAUGGCCUGGAUGUUCUUCUGAGAGUCUUCUACAGUAAUUAAUGCUUGUUCUGCUGAAAGUCACUACUUCCAUUUGUGCACUAUCUUGCAACAUUCUGCCUGGAAAACGCAAAUUAUUUGUAUAUUAUGUUCAUUGCCACAGGGAAGGAAGAAGAACCAUGGAGGUAAUAUUUUUUUUCACUUAAUAAUUUUAAGUUGAAUUCAUUAAUUUGUGGAAGAAGGGAUCUGACUGAAGACUUCUGAAAAUUUGGGGUUGGCAGAGCAGGCCUGGAACAUGGAGCAACUCUUCAUUGGGCACAACUGCGCUGUAAGCUGUAAAGGAGGGAGGAAGGUCUGCAGGCCAGCAGAGGGCUGUGCUCAAAUCUUUCUGCCCUCGAGAAGGGUGGGUUGUGGAUUUGCUGUUGUUACUCUGACUUAAUUAUUAAAAUAUUGAAACCUGUUCUCUACAGAUAUUUCAUACAGAUUUACUCUAACAGUGUAAUGACCGGUAUGCCGAUCGUGGUCACAGAUUGGGAUUUUUAUGGAUUCUUUUGCCAUCUUUGAUAUCUGCUAGGAGGCUCUACCUGGUUGCUUUUUACGUGCCCUGACAUGUUCCACAUCCUGCUACCUAUGUUUUGCCUGCCCAGCUCAGUUGAUGCAUUCUGGACGCUAUGGAGAGCAUUGAUGUUUUGAUUACAAAAUAGAACUUCACAAGCCAAGGAGGAGCAUGGAGUUGCCUUCCUGCAGCCUCUCUCACGCUCUUGUGUUCUUCCAUCACGCCCGUUAACAACUACACUAGAAACAAGCAGCAGAUUUUUUUCCACUCGAAGAGAUUUUUCAUGUGCUGAAGGGUAAAGUAACAGAAAAUUUGCAGAAUGGCCACAAGAAUCAUACAUAUCCUGGGGGACAUAUCUGCUAGAGAAAUUACUGGAUGAAGACAUUCACACACAGGAGGACUGGAGGCUGAAGCAAAACAUGAGGACCUGUGUGGCUGCACAAUGACCUUGGAUCAAGAGCGACACUCCAGGUGACACCCCAACCACCUGCAUGGAAGACAAGAGAAACCGUGAUGAGGAUUGAUCCAACAGAGUGUAGUGGCUCCCCUGGAUCUUACAGAGGCCUAUUGAGAUCUAUAGAUUUGUAUUCAAGGACUCCUGAAUAGAUCUCAUGACUGGCCUGACAAACCACGGCUGCUACAAAGGAGACAUUGCCAGACACUGUAAAUCUGUUGCAGACCUCAUGUAGCUGAGCACCGCCUUGCAGGCUGCCCUGCAAGUGCAACGCCACACUCAGGAGCUGAAAGUAAACCCAUGGAGUGCUGGAAGCCAUAUAAACGAUUGGUAAAACAUGCAUAAAGAAGGCAGGCUGAUGAUCUAUGGGAUUUUCUUUGUUGAAGCAACCACAGCCCGAAGCCUGGUCUGUUAAAACAACCCUGCAGCCAGGCAAGGAGACUCAAUCUGCUCAGCAAAAACAAGAGGCCCAUGUCUUUGGAAACCACUCUCAUCUCUCAUCACUCCACAGUACUGGAGAUGCCUUUUGGCUGCGUUAUCAUGGUGUCCCUAGAGGGAUGGCACAACAUGGCUGUAUCCUCAGUGCAUCCCUCUUGGAAGCCUAGCCCAAGCUGCUGUUGCGCUGCAGGAGUGGCAAGCGGUUGCAGGGGGAAAUAACCUUUCUCAUGUUUGGUCUCAUCACAAUGAGGUUGAUGCUUCAAUUUUCUGCUGUAAGGCUGCUUGGGAGAAGAGUUUGGGUACUAAAAAUGGACUUAUUUUUCUGCGUACAAAAACAGAAAGAUGUGUGUUUUCAUUUGGUUGGUGGUUGGACUUGCUGACCUUACUGGUGUUUUCCAACCUUUAUGAUUCUAUGAUAACACUGAUCAUCUCAACCUUGAACAGCCUGUACCAUACCAGAGCAAUACAGAGCCAUCACCAGGUAUUGUUUUAUUCUACUUAUUCCAUCUUUGUUUUUCCCUGUACUUACAACAAUGUAGUUUGCAUCCUGAAUGCAGUUCUUCACUUAGAAUAUAGCAAAUGUUGUCCUGAAAACUGGUAUCACUAAGGUGGAGAUGGAUGUCACACAAUGCCUCUGAGACCAGUUGGCUCACAGUGUUUCCUAAGUAGCUAUGAGGCAUCUCCUGUUCUAGUCGUGUUCAAUUCCCACUUCCCAACCCUAAAGGUCUUUCUGCUUCCUUUCUCAUUAUCUAGAAGCUUUGUUUUUGCCUCUGCUGCUUUCUUUCUUCCUUUAGCCUUCCGAUGUUAAUUUCUUCCUCCCCACAGCUAGACCCAAUCUGGGGAUUUUGCAUGGGUUUUUCCUGGGUGUUCUGCAUACAUACUGAGAAAGCUGUGGAGAAGAGAGAGGAACAUUCAUUCAGUGCUAUGAAGGUUUUACUUGGUGCAAUGGAAAAUAUAAAAAUAAAUAAAUAAAUAAACCUUCCAAUAUACGUGGAAAAAUGCAAGUAGAGCUAAAGCUUGCUAGAGUGCACCAAAAGCACUGCCCCAUAUAAAUUAAAGAUGCUUUGCCAGAGCCAAUAACUUUUAUAGAUUUUUCUUUACCUGUAAUGAAGGAAAAAUAUAAAUGACUAUCAUAAAAAGUAAACAUUAGAAAUAGAAAAUCCCUUUUACAGCAUUCAGUCCAUCUUUCUGCUAAUAACAACUUGUUCCCUAUAGUAUAUUUUUCCAGUGAUUCCUCUAGUCUAGUGUUAAACAUUUCUAGUGUUUCUAGGGCCUUGCUGCUCCCUUGAGAGGCAGUCUGAAAGCCUUGUGCAUUUCAAUGUCAGGAAGUUUUUCUCAGCAACUUCAAUUUUCUCUGUCUGUAUUUCUUCCUGCUAGUGUUAGGAUGUCUCUAUAAUUAGUUCUGUUCAUUUGAAUUUUUUUACUGAUGCUCUUUAGAAGGUAUGUGCAUUGCAAUUCUGUAUCACCGUUUCACAGCUACAAAGCAAGAUUUCCAACUGCGCUUUUUUUCUUAAAUUGUUAUUGAAUUAAUUUAAUUCAUAGGUAGCAUUUCCUUAUUGUUUGCAUUCUAUUUAUAGCAAGAAAACUUAUGGUAUCACCAGGCUUAACACCACUGCUCUUUUAUUUUGAUGGGUAACCAAAUUGCAAGACCCUGACAUCUGCUAUUUUUGAUAAAGGGCCAAUGCUGGUUUCAGAAACAGAAGUGCUUUCAAAGAGAAAAAAAUGCAGACAGAGAUCAAAUAAUGGAAAGCAAAACUUCUAUUAGCAAGUAAUAGAACCCCAAUACAAAAAGGGUGAUAUUUUUCAGAAGAAAACAAAUGAGUAAAAGUGUCUAAUAAAUGAGAAACUUACCUUAUAGAAGAUAGAAUCAUUGGUUGGAAAAGACCACUAAGAUCAUCUAGUCCAUCCAACCACC